GAUGAACGCUGGCGGCGUGCCUAAUACAUGCAAGUCGAGCGAACAGAUGAUGAGCUUGCUCCUCUGACGUUAGCGGCGGACGGGUGAGUAACACGUGUAUAACCUACCUAUAAGACUGGGAUAACUUCGGGAAACCGGAGCUAAUACCGGAUAAUAUAUUGAACCGCAUGGUUCAAUAGUGAAAUACGGUUUUGCUGUCACUUCUAGAUGGAUCCGCGCCGCAUUAGCUAGUUGGUAAGGUAACGGCUUACCAAGGCAACGAUGCGUAGCCGACCUGAGGGGGGGAACGGCGACUCUGAGGCUGAGACACGGUACAGGCACCUACGGGAGGCAGCAGUAGGGAAUGGUGCGCAAUGGGCGGAAGCCUGACGGAGCAACGGCGCGUGAGUGAUGAAAGGCUGCGGAUGGUAAAACUCUGUUAGUGGGGAAGAACAAAUGUGUAAGUAACUAUGCGCGUCUUAACGGUACCUGAACAGAAGGACACGGCUAACUACGU
rnacentral:rRNA from 1 species